rnacentral:rRNA from 1 species
ACAUACGACCAUAGGGUGUGGAAAACAGGGCUUCCCGUCCGCUCAGCCUUACUUAAGCCACACGCCGGUGAGUUAGUAGUUGGGUGGGUGACCACCAGCGAAUCCUCACUGUUGUAUGUU